GGGACACGGAGUUGCACGAAGCGUAGGAGAAAAGAUUGAUUAUAAUCGAAGUGUCAGUUUGAAGAGCUCCAAGGAGAAAAGCUCGAGGCGCGGAUGGAAAAUAGUGAGUUGCAGGAAUCGCUCCGCUGAGGGGUUCCCGCGUGGAAUAAAGGCGGAUAAAAAGAAUUCGAAGAAACUGCGACGUAUUUAAAAUGUGCUCGAGCGAGGAAGCGGUUCGCUGAGUGACCGAGUACCUAUAAUAUGACCUAACACCACUGCGGCACGGCCUAAUACCACGGAGUUUUGGAUAUGCGAGGAUAAAAAUAAAGGAGCGAGUCGUUGGUGGUGGCGUUUGGCACGAACACGAUUCAAAACCCGGACAGAAUCGCGAAGAGAGUUAAACGAGCGAGAGGAAAAG